rnacentral:sRNA from 1 species
GUGCCACCUACUGUAUCCCAGAUGGGCCAAGGUAACCGAGUCGCACUGUGCAGGGAGGGCCUUCCUGUGUGUGUGUGUGUGUGUGUUUUCUUUUCCUGAGGACACAGCCACCCUGCUGUGCAGGGACCUUUCUCCCAGACUCCUCUUCCCGUCUUGGGUGCAGGUUGACGUUUGAGAAGCAAAGACACCAAGGGUCCCCUUCCUCCCACCCAGGCCUCACGUCCCCUCAGCCCCUCCUGGCCAUGCACUGUUGAUUCCUAAGGUCUGCCACCCUCUGCAAGCACUGCUCCUCCCGUGUCCUGGCCUCCACCUGCCCCCACCCUGGGACAAAGCAUCCUCCUCGCCCCCACCAUGUCCACGCACAGAGGCAGAUGGCCAGGCACUGGGGGAACGUGGUGCUGGGGCCUCCCCGCCCCACUGGUAGAGAGGAGCCAGCCUCUGCUUGCAGACCAUCCCUCACGCUCUGCUCCUGUCCAGUGAGCUGUGGUUGCACCCGCAGGCCAGUGGGCUGUCUGCCCACAUGGGUGGGGGACCAUGGGGCUCCCAAGGUCACGAGCCCUGAGCAGUUUGGGUCUCUGUCACAGAAGACGCAGCCAGUUGGAACAUUCCUGAAACUUUAUGAGACCACUGGGCCUUUUUUACUUAUUUGGGCCAAAACUGAGCGACAGUGACUGCCCCGUUAACACCACCUGGAAACCAGUCCGUCCUUCUCGUUGAGAAACUGAUUUUCUAGUAUGCAUUUUUUGAAUCGAAUAAAUUUACGACACCUUAGAUUUCACUUGCAAUUUUGACUUCUAAAAAAUGUUUUAGUCGUUGGUAACUGGUUUCUCAUUGAAAACGGAUGCCUAUUUGUGAUACUGGUGUUCCCAUUACAAUGUAACACAAAGAUUUAAACGUAGAGUGAGUGGAAGCCCCACACAGGCAGGCCGGGCGGCAUCCAGUGGCAUCGGGCGCCUUUUUCGUGGCUGCAGCGUCAGCCUGCACUGCCGGGUGUGAGACAGACGCGCACUUAACGGCGUGAGAAGCCAGAUGUGGGAGGCACCGGGCAAUGUGGGCAGUGAGGCAGGAGCUUGGCCGCGUGUGGGGCAGAAGCUCCAUGGCUAGAAUGGGAUGUGUUUGGGUCACGGGUCUGGGGGAGGGUGCGUUCUGGCUAUAACUGGAUGUGUUUGGGCCACAGAGGUCUGGGGGCGGGGGGUGCGUUCUGGCUAUAACUGGAUGUAUUUGGGCCACAGAGGUCUGGGGGGUGCAUUCUGCAUCCAGCAGCUCUCACAUGGCAGUCGUGGUCCCCGUUGCUGGUCCGGCCUGUUGUGGAGUAGCGGGGGCAUUCAUGGGCGAACCCAGAGGCUGAAAUUCCACCCCAAUCAGAGCUCUAUUCCAGAGAAAAGGGGAGAAAUUGAGUCAGGCUUUGUUGUUCUGCAAAACAGUGACGCCGCUCAGCCAGCGCUGCGGGUUCCAGCAUACUCAGUGGCUUCAUUUCACUCUCACGGUAACCGCUGGGGGUGGAUUCUACGAUUAUCCUCAUUUUUACAGAAAAGGAAGCAGAGAUGGUUCACAGCCGAGUCACCUGUCCAGGGUGAUGCCUUUGCGGGGCCCACCAGAGCCCGCCAGUGUCGCAGAGGCGGUGAGCCCCUCCCGCCCAACACACAGCCCCUUGGCAGGGGCUCUUGAGCAAACCUGCAGGUGGGCAGCUUGGGGCGUUUCUCAGCUAGCAUCACCCCUGCUUCAGGACUUGAAAGCACUUGACUGGGUUCGCUGGCCUGAGGAUUACGUGCUCGGUGGAAAUUAGUCAUUCUGGGCUCUUCUCUCCUUCACUCUAGGAGGACUGGGACCCAGAGAGCUCCGGGAUCAGCUCCCUGGCUUGGAGUCCAAAAGCAGCUCUGACCACGCCGCCUGGGGCAAGAGGGAGGGCCGCUGGGUUCCGUCUCCGUGGCCUGGCACAUCCAAGGUCCCUUUGUGGAAAAGGCACGUGUAGCACCCGUUACUGGAGGAUAACCUGUAACUUUGUGCCUCUCCCAAGGGAGCACACAGGUCUACACGGGAAGUAAGAUUCCCCAUACCCACUGUGUCUCACAGUUCAGAAAAAGUCGUCAAAGUGCUCAGACUCAAGAAGUAAUUAAGGAAAUAUGAAAACAUGACUUUAUUUCUUUCUUUUUUUGAGACAUUCUCGCUCUGUUGCCCAGGCUGGAGUGCAGUGGCACCAUUGCAGCUCAAACUCCUGGGCCAAGCAAUCUUCCCACCUCAGACUCCCAAGUAGCUGGGACCACAGGCAUGCGCCACCACACUCAGCUAAUCUUUGUAUUUUUUGUAGAGACAGGGUCUCAUCAUGUUACCCAGGCUGAUCUCGAACUCCUGGGCUCCAGUAAUCCACCCACUUUAGCCUCCCAAAGUGCUGGGAUUGCAGGCAUGAACCACCAUGCCCAGCUGAAAAUAUAACUUUAAAAAAAAUCUUAGCUCCGUAAGAACUAAGCCAGAUCAGAAAACGAAUUCUGUCUGUGGCCCCCACAGCUGUGAAAUGGAGUCGCUGACUCGCCAUGCUCAUGCACGUGCUUAGUGCCCACUGCAGAAGGCUGCUUUGAAUGAAAGCUAGUGUUUAUUCGUGCACUCACCCAGAAGGUUUCUGCUGUUAUUGAAUCAAAUUACCCUACAUGUGAGGCAUUUUUCACAGCCAGAUGCAGACAGGGACACAGACGCAGCAGCACCCACCACACAUGAACGUUCGGGGGUCACUGCCUCGUCUUCAUGUCUUGGGAGUUGCUGUUUCUGUCUUUAAAUCCGAGCGUCAGAAGGAUCUGAGACACCCGAUAUAAAUCCCUAGCUUGUUAAUGAUGCUCACAGAGAGCGGCCAUGCCCACAGACUGCAUAAUUUAUCUCCAUCCUGCAGAAUUCUGAUUUUCAUGUAAACCUAGGACAUGUUCAGAGACUUGGAAGUUAGUGAUUCUAGCCCCUGCCUUAGGCAUGCCCGUGUGGUUGUUUCUGCUUUGGAUUGGCUGGUGGUAGCAGCUGCUGGCAUCACGCAAUUGGCUUGGCUGCAGAGUGAGCCCGCGGAAGAGGGCUCUCCGCACCCACUCUGUGACUCAGGCUUCUACUACCAGGCUCAUCCGAGGACGGAGGCUGUCGUUAUACAACGCGCAAGUGUGGUCUCUGUCACAGAUGUGGCUGUCGCAGAGAGUGCUGCCUCCUCUCCCGUUUCCAGCAGAUGCUUGGGAACCUUCAGAAGUCUUGGGGAUUUUCUCCCAGCACCGUAGCCAUGCCACCACGAGUGAACCCUUAACGUGGACCAGCACGGGCACCUCAGAUGCCAGGACCGGCGUGAUGUAUGCGCCAUAAGACUGUUUUGGAGGGUUUAGUCAGCUGGUCACCCAGGAAAGGAAAAUGACUCGGCUCUUACUGUGGAAUAGCAAAUGACUGAGCUCGGGAGAGAUGGUUCUGCCUCAAUCUGUGACUCGAGGUGGUUGGUGUUAGGCUGAGAAAUAAGAACACACCGAAAGUGCCUGCCCUUCCGUAGAUGAGAGCAGGUUCUGGGACUGCGGGGAUGGGGCUGCCGGGGCCCCCGUGUGCCAUGCCUCUCACCUGGUAUUGCAGAAAUGGCAUCAUGAAUAUGGGGGAUCGCUCUCCCAAGAGGUUUUCUGAGGGAUUUCGUGGGCAGCCGGCUUCCCACCUGCACACAUUAACGGCGGCGUCUCUUCCUCACUGCAGCCUGCAGGACGCUGGCAUCGGAUUCAUCCUGGUGAUAGACCGGCGACGGGACAAAUGGACCUCCGUGAAGGCGUCCGUCCUGCGCAUCGCAGUAAGUGCCGCCCGGGGCUCUGCCCUGCACCCGGCCCCUCCCUGGGCUGCAUGACCGCAUGGUGCCCUUCCUCUGUGUCUGCCGCAGUUCCUGCUUUGUGCUGAGUGGGACAGAGCCCAGUCCCGGCAGGUGGAGGCCGGCGCCAAGGCCCCCCCUGCUUGGGCUCCCAAGGCACUGGUGCCUGGGUGUGAGUUUUCCCAGAUGAGGGAACUCUUAGGGAGCCCAGUGUGACUUGCAAACAAUUUCCUCAGACAGGGCAGCCCAUAUGUUUCCGAACACCAAGUCUGAGAUGCUCGGGACUGAAUAUGCCUCUUACAUAUUUAUACAUUAGUGAUUUUCUCCUUUCCAAAUUGGGCCGUCUAUCUUUAGCUGUGACACUGAACGAGCCACCACCGCCUCCCUUCCCCAGUGGGAUUGAACAUGCACUUCCUCUUACACAAAGCACAACAGUCCUGAACAGGCAGGACGGGGGCUGUGUGCAGAGACGCUCCAGGCUGGAAGUUUGAAGUGGUACUGCACAGCUUUUCUACGUGAUUUUCUCCUUUCCAAAUCGGGCCAUCUAGCUGCGACACUGAACUAGCCACCACCGCCUCCCUUCCCCAGUAACCCAGCCUCGCAGGUAGCCACCCUCCUUUCCAAGGACUUUCCCUUGGGCGUCCGAGGGUCUGUUUGCAGAUUCUGCACGCUGGCUUCCGUAGCAGAAGAGGAGCUGGGUUUGCUGUUGGUUUUAACCCAGAGUAAUCAUUUAAGAGGGAAGAGAUUAAGUCAGCAGAAGACUCCAAAUCUUAUUUUUGUCGGUAGCUCCCACCCAUAUGCAUGACCCCGGCAGGGAGCAUUUUUCACCCACGCUCGCUCUCCCUGCCUGUCAGUCCAAAUUUCAUUGCUGCCAAAGGACCAAAAAAGGCUGCCUGUCUGCCAGGAGGUGACCCAGAGCCUGGGUCCAGGCACCUGCAUGUUCGCACGCCCGCCACAGCCCGUCCCUCCCAGGCUCUGGGACCCUGGGUCCUCAGCUGUGAUGGCACAAUUGCUCCAAGCAUUCCCCAGCACCAAACCCCAGUGAAGUCAGAUUCUCCCGGUGAAGUCAGAUUCUCCCGGUGAAGUCAGAUUGUCCCGGUGAAGUCAGAUUCUCCCAGUGAAGUCAGAUUCUCCUGGCCUUUCCUGGCUUCUGCAUUCAGACUACCUUUGGGUUCCCCAGCCUCUCGGUGGCUGCUGGCUGGUGCGCCAAGGUUCGAGGUAUAGUGAAAAAAGUCAUUCCUUUCCCCGCACAUUGCCUCAUUCCUUCAUCUUUUACAAGAAUUAGAGACCCCAUAUCUGCUCCGAUGCCCACAACCUUCAUCGUUUUGGUGCGAGCCUGUCCCUGAGCCGCUGGUUCUCAUCGAAGUCUUUAGGAUGAGGCAUCUCCUUGCACCCCCACGGCACCUCUCUGCCCCUCGCCGCGGCGGAUCCCCAUUCCUGACCCUGCCUCAACCUGGCACACACCGCCUAUGGCAUCGUUAUCUGAAAUAAUUCAAAACGCUUCAGGAUGCUUCCAAAAAAGUAGACGUGUAUAGAAUCGGUCUUCCUUUGUUUUAACAGUGCGUUCGUUUGCUUUUGCGUCACUAUAAAGACGUACUUGAGCUGGGCAAUUGAUAAAGAAAGAGGCGUAAUUGGCUCACAGUUCUGCAGGCUGCACAGGCUUAGCACCUGCAUCUUCUCAGCUUCUGAGGGGGCCUCAGGGAGCUGCCAGUUGUGGUGGAAGGCAGCAGGGAGCUGCCAGUUGUGGUGGAAGGCAGCGGGGAGCCGGCAUCACAUGGUGAGAGAGGGAGCGAGAGAGAAGGGGGAGGUCCCAGACUUUUGAACAGCCAGAUCUCCAGUGAACUUACUGAGCGAGAACUCACCCGUCACCAAGGGGAUGGCGCUGAGCCAUUCAUAAGGGGUCACGCCCAGACUUAAUCACCUCCCGCCAGGCCCCACCUCAGCACUGGGAAUCGCAUUUCAACAUGAGACUUGGAGGGGACAAAAAUCCCAUCCAUAUCAAGCAUCCCCAGAAAUGCAGAAAGUUCUUUAGAUAAAAGCCAUCACCAGCUAA